rnacentral:lncRNA from 1 species
AUGUCCCUGGGGUGCCAGUGGGACACCAGCAGGUCCCCAGGGUGCUGGCAUGUCCCUGGGGUGCCAGUGGGACACCAGCAGGUCCCCAGGGUGCUGGCAUGUCCCCGGGGUGCCAGUGGGACACCAGCGGGUCCCCAGGGUGCUGACAUGUCCCUGGGGUGCUGUGGGGUGCCAGCAGGUCCCCAGGGUGCUGGCAUGACCUUGGGGGUCCCCAGGGUGCUGGCAUGUCCUCAGGGUGCCAUUGGAACACCAGUGGGUCCUCAGGGUGCCAGUGGGACACCAGCAGGUCCCUGGGGUGCCGGCAUGUCCCUGGGGUGCUGUGGGGUGCCAGCAGGUCCCUGGGGUGCUGUGGGGUGCCAGCAGGUCCCUGGGGUGCUGGCAUUUCCUCGGGGUGCUAGUGAGACACGAGCGGGUCCUCGGGGUGCUGGAGGGUGCCAGCUGGUCCCCAGGGUGCUGGCAUGUCCUUGGGGUGCUGGCAUGUCCCCGAGGUGCCAGUGGGACACCAGUGGGUCCCUGGGGUGCUGUGGGGUGCCGGCAGGUCCCUGGGGUGCCAUUGUGUUGACAGGGGGGGUGCUGUGGGUGCCACCCCCCACCCUGACCCCUUGUUCCCCCCCCUCCUCUCCCUCUUUGUGUCCCCACAGCGGGGUGCCCAGCCAGGUGCCGGCGGCGUCCCCCUCUGCCCACAACGUCAGCCAGGGCCCCGGGGUGCCAGUGGGUCACCAGUGGGUGCUCAGGGUGCUGUGGGGUGUCAGUGGGUCCCCAGGGUGCUGGCAUGUCCCCAGGGUGCCAGUGGGACACCAGUGGGUCACCAGUAGGUCCUUGGGUGCUGUGGGGUGCCAGCAGGUCCCCAGGGUGCUGGCAUGUCCCCGGGGUACCAGUGGGUCCUUGGGGUGCUGUGGGGUGCCAGCAGGUCCCCAGGGUGCUGGCAUGUCCCUGGGGUGCCAGUGGGACACCAGCAGGUCCCCAGGGUGCUGGCAUGUCCCUGGGGUGCCAGUGGGACACCAGCAGGUCCCCAGGGUGCUGGCAUGUCCCCGGGGUGCCAGUGGGACACCAGCGGGUCCCCAGGGUGCUGACAUGUCCCUGGGGUGCUGUGGGGUGCCAGCAGGUCCCCAGGGUGCUGGCAUGACCUUGGGGUGCUGUGGGGUGCCAGCAGGUCCCCAGGGUGCUGGCAUGACCUUGGGGUGCUGGCAUGUCCCCGGGGUGCCAGUGGGACACCAGUGGGUCCCUGGGGUGCUGUGGGGUGCCGGCAGGUCCCUGGGGUGCCAUUGUGUUGACAGGGGGGGUGCUGUGGGUGCCACCCCCCACCCUGACCCCUUGUUCCCCCCCCUCCUCUCCCUCUUUGUGUCCCCACAGCGGGGUGCCCAGCCAGGUGCCGGCGGCGUCCCCCUCUGCCCACAACGUCAGCCAGGGCCCCGGGGUGCCAGUGGGUCACCAGUGGGUGCUCAGGGUGUUGUGGGGUGUCAGUGGGUCCCCAGGGUGCCAGUGGGACACCAGUAGUUCCUUGGGUGCUGGGGGGUGCCAGUGGGUUCUUUGGGUGCUGGCAUGUCCUCGGGGUGCCAGUGGGACACCAGUGGGUCCUUGGGGUGCUGUGGGGUGCCAGCAGGUCCCUGGGGUGUUGUGAGGUGCCAGCAGGUCCCCAGGGUGCUGGCAUGUCCCUGGGGUGCCAGUGGGACACCAGCAGGUCCCCAAGGUGCCAGUGGGACACCAGUGGGUCCUUGGGGUGCUGUGGGGUGCCAGCAGGUCCCUGGGGUGUUGUGAGGUGCCAGCGGGUCCCCAGGGUGCUGGCAUGUCCUCAGGGUGCCAUUGGAACACCAGUGGGUCCUCAGGGUGCCAGUGGGACACCAGCAGGUCCCUGGGGUGCCGGCAUGUCCCUGGGGUGCUGUGGGGUGCCAGCAGGUCCCUGGGGUGCUGUGGGGUGCCAGCAGGUCCCUGGGGUGCUGGCAUUUCCUCGGGGUGCUAGUGAGACACGAGCGGGUCCUCGGGGUGCUGGAGGGUGCCAGCUGGUCCCCAGGGUGCUGGCAUGUCCUUGGGGUGCUGGCAUGUCCCCGAGGUGCCAGUGGGACACCAGUGGGUCCCUGGGGUGCUGUGGGGUGCCGGCAGGUCCCUGGGGUGCACUGUGUUGACGGGGGGGGUGCCGUGGGUGCCACCCCCCACCCUGACCCCUUGUUCCCCCCCCUCCUCUCCCUCUUUGUGUCCCCACAGCGGGGUGCCCAGCCAGGUGCCGGCGGCGUCCCCCUCUGCCCACAACGUCAGCCAGGGCCCCGGGGAGCGCCCCAGUUUCCCCCGGGGGGUCUCCAGCCGCAGCACCUUCCACGCGGGGCAGCUCCGGCAGGCCAGGGACCAGGCCCCCCUGCCCUCCGCCCUGCCCCCCGGCCUGCCCCCCCCCGCCUCCCCCUCGGGUGCCAGCCAGGGCCGCCGCGGCCCCUCCGCCAGCCUCUUCAGCAAGUUCACCUCCAAGUUCGUCCGCAGGUGAGCAGGGGGGGGGGAGGGAUUGUCA